rnacentral:rRNA from 1 species
CCCUCGGGUGGGGAAUAACCCCGGAAAGCGGGGGCUUAUCCCGGAUUGGUCAAAAAAUAAAAGUUUACCUCCCAAAAGAGGGGUUCGGUUCUGUUUUAUCUAUUGGGUGUGGAAAGGCCCCCCUUGCGCGACCUCCAUUAUUCUGUCUGGGGGGGAGGGCCACCCACCGUGGGAUUGGAACCCGGCCCCAGUCUCUUGGGGAGGCAGCAGUGGGGAAUUUUCCGCAAUGGGCGAAAGCCUGACGGAGCAAGACCGCGUGGGGGAGGAAGGCCUUUGGGUUGUAAACCCCUUUUGUUAGGGAAGAAAAAAAUGACGGUACCUAACGAAUCAGCCUCGGCUAACUCCGUGCCAGCAGCCGCGGUAAUACGGAGGAGGCAAGCGUUAUCCGGAAUUAUUGGGCGUAAAGCGUCCGUAGGUGGCCCGGCAAGUCUGCUGUCAAAGACCACAGCUCAACUGUGGAAAGGCAGUGGAAACUGCAAGGCUAGAGUGCGGUAGGGGUAGAGGGAAUUCCCAGUGUAGCGGUGAAAUGCGUAGAGAUUGGGAAGAACACCGGUGGCGAAAGCGCUCUACUGGGCCGCAACUGACACUGAUGGACGAAAGCUAGGGGAGCGAAUGGGAUUAGAUACCCCAGUAGUCCUAGCUGUAAACGAUGGAAACUAGGUGUAGCACGUAUCGACCCGUGCUGUAUCGGAGCUAACGCGUUAAGUUUCCCGCCUGGGGAGUACGCACGCAAGUGUGAAACUCAAAGGAAUUGACGGGGGCCCGCACAAGCGGUGGAGUAUGUGGUUUAAUUCGAUGCAACGCGAAGAACCUUACCAGGGCUUGACAUGUCCGGAACCUCUGUGAAAGCAGAGGGUGCCUUCGGGAGCCGGAACACAGGUGGUGCAUGGCUGUCGUCAGCUCGUGUCGUGAGAUGUUGGGUUAAGUCCCGCAACGAGCGCAACCCUCGUCCUUAGUUGCCAGCAUUUUGGAUGGGCACUCUAGGGAGACUGCCGGUGACAAACCGGAGGAAGGUGGGGAUGACGUCAAGUCAGCAUGCCCCUUACGUCCUGGGCGACACACGUACUACAAUGCUGUGGACAAAGAGCAGCCAACCCGCGAGGGCGAGCUAAUCUCAUAAACCACGGCUCAGUUCAGAUCGCAGGCUGCAACUCGCCUGCGUGAAGGCGGAAUCGCUAGUAAUCGCCGGUCAGCAUACGGCGGUGAAUCCGUUCCCGGGCCUUGUACACACCGCCCGUCACACCAUGGGAGCUGGCCACGCCCGAAGUCGUUACUCCAACCGUUCGCGGAG